GCCCUUCUUCUCCCCUGAAAUUACUGUGAUAAAUCCUCAACGAGUUUCUGUGCAACUCUGCAACCAACAUAAAUUUCAACCACAAAGCACACCACCAGAAUGCUCCUAUGCGCAUGGAAAACAAAUUUGUGGAGAUUCUGUCCUCAACUCCAACAGUGUACUUCAGACCAUAGAAACCAUAUUGAUUGACAUGAAGACCAAACAAAGAAAAGAUUAAAAAACGAGGAACAAAGGUGCCCUUCCACUGUCAUUAUACUUUCUUGAUUUUUCUCUCUCUGUUCAUGACUUGAACUCAAGUGUGACAAAAAGAAGGAUUGAAGGUCAACAACUUUAUAA